rnacentral:tRNA from 1 species
GCGAUUGUGGCGGAAUUGGUAGACGCACUAGCUUCAGAUGUUAGUAUUCUUUUUUAUGAAUGUAGGGGUUCAAGUCCCCUCUUUCGCA